AAGAGAAGGGCUGCCCUGUGGUCUUACAUGCUGGAAAUACAUGGUAAUGCUUGUGAGUUACUAAUUGGAAAGAGAAAGAAGAUGCCCUUCCUUGGUGUCCUGUGAUGUGCAAUGUUUCCUGUCAGGACAGCUCCCCUGUGCAGGAGAACACAGGGAGCAGGACAGCAGAGUGUGCAGACCUUGGACUUGAGCUGGCACUCCCAAGUCGAGCUGCCCUCAGUUUUUAUCUGGAAGUGUUCUCCCUGCUGUGAAAGGGUCAGAGCCCUCUGCAGUCACUGAACCCAAAGACUUGGCUUGGCUGCAGAGCAAGUGCCUGAAGAACGUGUGACCUUCUCAGCACAGAAAACCUUUGUGGAGAAAUGAACUCGAGUAGCAACACAGAAAUUUGUGCUGGGAAUAACCAGCACCUCUCUCCUUCUUCUGCAAAGGGUUCAGCCAGCGUUUCUCACAGGCAGUUGCUACUUUGUUAACCCAAAUUUUCCAGAGCUCUUCCUGGGUCCUUGGGUUAAACAGUUAUCACCACAAUGAGAGAGGUCACUCAACUGCUCCCACACAUAGAGCCAAGGGAGGAAUUAAUUGUUUCUUAUUAUCUGCUUCCAAAGGCAGAUUCUCCCCUCAGUGAAUGAGGCAAGAAACAGUGAGAUAGCCUCACAAUUUGAAAGGGUAAGGGCAUAAACCUUACUAUUUGGAUCAUCCUCUCCUACCCCUCCAAUGUGACUGCAAACAUCUGGAUGCCAUUUUCUUCCUCUCUAAUGAGACAGGCUCUGCAGAGGAGGACUUUGGUGCUAUAGAAAUAUUGACCUGGAAAAGGCCUAUCUGAAAAGGUUUUGUAUGAAAUUCUAAAACCUGGUUACAAACAUUAACGAAAAGUGUUUCACAACUUUCUAGUCAGACAGCACUCUGAUGUGAUAGUGAAAGAAUUCCAGUGUCUCCAGCUGAUGAGAUUUCAGCUUCGUGCAGCUUUUCAUCUGUGCUGGAAUAAAUGAGAGUUCUGCCACACAUAGGAUCCGCAGACCUUUGUUUCCCACAAGAAGAAAUGCAGAUGGCACCAGCUCCUAGGAAGAACCCAGCCUUCAUCUCACUGGGGAUGCAUGAACUGUGUGGUGAACUGCAGGAGAGCUCCUGUGGCUCUGCAGGAUGCCCAGCUGCAGCAGGUCAUGCUGCAGGGGUCCAGAUGUUGUAGAAGAACAUCUAAGAUGUCCAGAGUGGCAGCCCUACUCUCAAAGGCAACCUUCAGCUUCCACAAGGGAGAGAAAUGAGCUUAGGUGAAGCCAAUUCAUGUCCUGAAAUAUUUUUUACCUCCAACUUCUACCUUUCAUCUCUCAUCUCCAGCCGUGAUUAAGCUUGGCUUAUCUUUAAAAGAGAUGAUGUUACUUGAUGAUUAUAUUAAUGCACGUAAUUACCUCUCAGUAUUCUCCAGAAGAUGCAGUGGGUCAUGUUCCUGUUUUUUAUAGGUAGUUCUAAAAAUUACACAAUCCUAGAGAACAGGCAGGGCCUUUUGCUAUGCAUAUUUUAUGAAGACGAAAGGGUAAAUACACCACCUAAAAUGUGGAUUAUCAAAUAUCAAAUCAAACUACAAAAUAGACUACAGGGCAGUAGUUUGUUGAGGUAGCCAGUGAACAUUGAGUCUUCUCUUUCAACAAGCUGAAAUGACAUGUGUCAAAACAUCAAUUAAUUAAUUGGAGUUUUGUGCUUGAUUUACCCAAAGUCCCUUUAAAACUUGAAAUAAAAUAUUAAUUUCUCUAAAACUUCUGAAGGGGGGGUGUUCAGAUAAAAUAUUGCCAAAUUUUAUUGUAUUUAGUGAGGAAGAUGAAGAAAGGAUAAAAAAAUCAGUGAAGGAAAGAAUAGUAUCUAUCUAAAGCCUUUCAUAUCUCCACCUGGCCUGGUCAGGUAUACAUGAACCUGUAUCAAUGCCAUUGUGCUUGCUCUUCCUGGAAUGAGCUAGGUGGGGUUUUCCUGUUUGUAAAAGAAAAGCACAAGAGAAUGCUUAGGAUAGGAAUUCUUCAUCAUAACUCAUGCUAGUAGCAUCUUCAUGGACCUCUGGUGGGAAAUCCCUUCAGUCCUUUGUAGAAAUCCUGCUGGCUUCAGCUGGGCAAGCACCAGACACUGAAGGUUUCCAAGACUCAGCUGCCAAAUACAGUUAGUAGAAAGCUAUAAUUUAGAAUUUCCUCUCUAGGGUUUCCUGGUAAAGAAUCUAAAUGCAGAGUGUGGCUUAGGGAACCCACAUUCUCCCCAGGGAAAUAAAACAAACACACCCAACAGUCAGAAAAAUAAUCUGUUCUCAUAGUAUUUCUAGCUUGUUUUCCAACCAGCUGGGAUUUCCAUGAAACUUGGAUCCAUAUGAAAAUGAUGGCAUUCUGCUCUGACCUUAAUUUUACUUUCAAAUUUUAGAGCUUUGUCCACCUCAGGGAAUAGUGCAAAAUGGAAUCAGGAUGGACCUGGAGGAAUAAACAAAUUUGUGCAACGCAUUUGCCUUCACUGUUAGACAUUCUCGCUGCUAGACUCAGUCAGCAAGUCAUUCAUGGUUUUCAUGGGAACUUCUGCCUCUCAGUGAAAAGAUAAAUGAAUGCAAAUAUUUCUUCCUUCCCAGAAAGAGAAGUUAUGUGGGCAUGAUUUGGCUUGACAGUAAAAAUAGUGUUGACCUAGCUGUACCACCAGGGUCUAAUGGGCUAAAAUUUUAAUGCAUUAAGCCACCAUGUCAGCUUGACUUUCCUUUCCAGCUGUUGUGAAGACAGAACUACUCAUCUAGUUUCUUAUGCAGCCUGGUCAAUGUGCUCUUUGUAUGAACACAGCAGACUCCAAAGUAGAUCAGUACAAUUUGCUAUGAUUUUGUUAUUGCUGCCUUCAGGUU